GUCGAAAAGGGACAGAAGCCAAACUUGUAACGACCUGAGCUUGAGUCUGGCAUGAGCUAAGCCCAGCUUUGUUGAUGCCAUAAGUCCCAGGAGAUGCUGAGCAUGGAGCGCGGUGACUGUAGCUCCUGGUUUCAAUUUUUUCACAGCCUUUAAGAUCUUUCGGAUCCGGUCUUGUGGGAGAAAGAUGUGACCUUUGUUGGCAUCUAUGGUAGCACCAAUGUAAUUUACAGGCCCUGCACCUGGAUGGGGAGACUAUCAGCCAGUUGUCGAUAUAAGGAAACACAUCGACACCGUGGAGCCUCAGGCUUGGGCGCUGCAGCAGCCUUGGAAGAAGACGCUUUUUUAACUGCAGCUUUUUAAGGUGGUUUGGCAGCAGAACCCUCAGAAGGAGCAACCCCAGAGCUAGAGAACAUUCUGAAGGAACCGACGCUGGCGCUGACAUAACCCUUUCUCUGUGCAUUCACAGAAGACCACGAUGAAGAAUUGGAUGUUUUCUGAACAUCCCAAGAGCAUACCCUAAACAGCAUGUAUGGUCUUUUAUUUAUCAUUUGAAAUUCCCAGAACCUAUUUUUCUAAACACAUCCACA